rnacentral:tRNA from 1 species
GGUUGUGGCUUAGUGGCAGAGCGCUUGCCUAGCAUGUGUGAGGCACUGGGUUUGAUUCUCAGCAUCA